GUCUUUGUAGUAUAAUUAAAUACCCCGGUUUUGUAAACCGGAAAAGGAGACAAGACACACCUCCCUAAGACUU
rnacentral:tRNA from 1 species